CACGGAGUUAGCCGAUGCUUAUUCCCACGGUACCGUCAAUCCCACCCGCAGGUGGGCCGUUCUUCCCGUGUAAAAGCAGUUUACAACCCAGAGGGCCUUCUUCCUGCACGCGGCGUGGCUGGUUCAGGCUUGCGCCCAUUGACCAAUAUUCCUUACUGCUGCCUCCCGUAGGAGUCCGGUCCGUGUCUCAGUACCGGUGUGGGGGAUCAUCCUCUCAGAACCCCUACUGAUCGUAGCCUUGGUGGGCCGUUACCCCGCCAACUAGCUAAUCAGACGCAUGCCCAUCCCCUACCGAUAAAUCUUUAACCAGUGUGCCAUGUAGCACUUAGGUACCAUCGGGUAUUAAUCCUCCUUUCGGAGGGCUAUCCCCGUGUAGGGGGCAGGUUGCAUACGCGUUACGCACCCGUGCGCCGGUCUCGAAAAACGCAAGCCCUUUCUACCCCUCGACUUGCAUGUAUUAGGCCCGCCGCUAGCGUUCAUCCUGAGCCAGGAUCAAACUC
rnacentral:rRNA from 1 species